GCCAGUUUGGUCUAGUGGUUAAGGCACCAGUCUAGAAAGCAGGAGGCUUUGAGUUCUAGUCCCAAUUUAAGCA
rnacentral:tRNA from 1 species